rnacentral:rRNA from 1 species
AAACUUUUAACAACGGAUCUCUUGGCUCUGGCAUCGAUGAAGAACGCAGCGAAAUGCGAUAAGUAAUGUGAAUUGCAGAAUUCAGUGAAUCAUCGAAUCUUUGAACGCACAUUGCGCCCGCCGGCAUUCCGGCGGGCAUGCCUGUCCGAGCGUCAUUU